rnacentral:rRNA from 1 species
GAUGAACGCUGGCGGCGUGCUUAACACAUGCAAGUCGAACGGAAAGGCUCCUGCUUGCAGGGGUACUCGAGUGGCGAACGGGUGAGUAACACGUGGGUGAUCUGCCCUGCACUUCGGGAUAAGCCUGGGAAACUGGGUCUAAUACCGGAUAGGACGAUGGUUUGGAUGCCAUUGUGGAAAGUUUUUCGGUGUGGGAUGAGCUCGCGGCCUAUCAGCUUGUUGGUGGGGUAAUGGCCUACCAAGGCGUCGACGGGUAGCCGGCCUGAGAGGGUGUACGGCCACAGUGGGACUGAGAUACGGCCCAGACUCAUACGGGAGGCAGCAGUGGGGAAUAUUGCACAAUGGGCGCAAGCCUGAUGCAGCGACGCCGCGUGGGGGAGGACGGCCUUCGGGUGGUAAACUCCUUUCGCUAGGGACGAAGCGCAAGUGACGGUACCUGGAGAAGAAGCACCGGCUAACUACGU